UGAGCGAACCCGGGGAACUGAAACAUCUAAGUACCUGCAGGAAAGUAAAUCAACCGAGACUCCGUAAGUAGCGGCGAGCGAAAGCGGAAAUAGCCCAAACCAGAGAGUUUACUCUUUGGGGUUGCGGGCAUUGAUAAGGAGUUACAAAAGCAUUGCAAUUUGAAUGGUCUGGAAAGUCCAACCACAGAAGGUGAUAGUCCUGUAAGAAAAUGCAAAUGCCCUCCGUUACUGUCAGUGUUCCAGAGUAGCACGGAACCCGUGAAACUCCGUGUGAAGCUGGGGGGUCCACCCUCCAAGGCUAAGUACUACUUGACAACCGAUAGUGCAAAGUAAGGCGACUGAAAGAUGAAAAGUACCCCUAUUAGGGGAGUUAAAAGUACCUGAAACCAUACACUUACAAGCUGUAGGAGCCCUAUG
rnacentral:rRNA from 1 species